GUUUGAUCCUGGCUCAGAGUGAACGCUGGCGGCAGGCCUAACACAUGCAAGUCGAACGGCAGCACAGGAGAGCUUGCUCUCUGGGUGGCGAGUGGCGGACGGGUGAGGAAUGCGUCGGAAUCUGCCUAUUCGUGGGGGAUAACGUAGGGAAACUUACGCUAAUACCGCAUACGACCUACGGGUGAAAGUGGGGGACCUUCGGGCCUCACGCGGAUAGAUGAGCCGACGCCGGAUUAGCUAGUUGGCGGGGUAAAGGCCCACCAAGGCGACGAUCCGUAGCUGGUCUGAGAGGAUGAUCAGCCACACUGGGACUGAGACACGGCCCAGACUCCUACGGGAGGCAGCAGUGGGGAAUAUUGGACAAUGGGCGCAAGCCUGAUCCAGCCAUGCCGCGUGUGUGAAGAAGGCCUUCGGGUUGUAAAGCACUUUUGUUGGGGAAGAAACAGCGCAGGUUAAUAACCGGCGUGAAUGACGGUACCCAAAGAAUAAGCACCGGCUAACUUCGUGCCAGCAGCCGCGGUAAUACGAAGGGUGCAAGCGUUACUCGGAAUUACUGGGCGUAAAGCGUGCGUAGGCGGUUUGUUAAGUCUGAUGUGAAAGCCCCGGGCUCAACCUGGGAAUGGCAUUGGAUACUGGCAGGCUAGAAUGUGGUAGAGGGUGGUGGAAUUCCCGGUGUAGCGGUGAAAUGCGUAGAGAUCGGGAGGAACAUCCGUGGCGAAGGCGGCCACCUGGACCAACAUUGACGCUGAGGCACGAAAGCGUGGGGAGCAAACAGGAUUAGAUACCCUGGUAGUCCACGCCCUAAACGAUGCGAACUGGAUGUUGGGCACACUUAGGUGCUCAGUGUCGAAGCUAACGCGUUAAGUUCGCCGCCUGGGAGUACGGUCGCAAGACUGAAACUCAAGGGAAUUGACGGGGGCCCGCACAAGCGGUGGAGUAUGUGGUUUUAAUUCGAUGCAACGCGAA
rnacentral:rRNA from 1 species